rnacentral:rRNA from 1 species
GGGUGACGGAGCGACGCCGCGUGGGUGAAGAAGGCCUUCGGGUUGUAAAACCCUGUCAGGAGUUAUGAAAUGUAAGUGCGCUAAUAUCGUGCUUAUUUGACAAAGGCUCCAAAGGAAGCCACGGCUAACUCUGUGCCAGCAGCCGCGGUAAUACAGAGGUGGCGAGCGUUGUUCGGAAUUAUUGGGCGUAAAGAGCACGUAGGUGGGUUUGCAAGUCAGAUGUGAAAGCCUUCUGUUCAACGGAAGAAUUGCAUCUGAAACUGCUGAUCUUGAGUAUAGGAGGGGAGAAUGGAACUUCUGGUGGAGCGGUGAAAUGUGUAGAUAUCAGAAGGAACGCCGGCGGCGAAAGCGAUUCUCUGGCCUAUUACUGACACUCAGUGUGCGAAAGCUAGGGGAGCAAACGGGAUUAGAUACCCCGGUAGUCCUAGCCGUAAACGAUGGGCACUAAGUAGAGG